rfam:Macrostomum lignano unitig_26522, whole genome shotgun sequence.
AAAACGGCCCUUUCAGGGCCACCCAAACUAACUUAGCGGUCGAGG